GGCGGCGUGCUUAACACAUGCAAGUCGAACGCGAAAGGGACUUCGGUCCUGAGUAAAGUGGCGCACGGGUGAGUAACGCGUAGAUAACCUGUCUUCAUGUCUGGAAUAAUACGCCGAAAGGGGUACUAAUACCGGAUAUUCUUGCUUUUCAUAAGUUAUGCAAGCAAAGGUGGCCUCUGCAUAUGCUACUGCAUGAAGAGGGGUCUGCGUACCAUUAGCUAGUAGGUGGGGUAAUGGCCUACCUAGGCGACGAUGGUUAGCGGGUCUGAGAGGAUGAUCCGCCACACUGGCACUGGAACACGGGCCAGACUCCUACGGGAGGCAGCAGUGAGGAAUAUUGCGCAAUGGGGGAAACCCUGACGCAGCGACGCCGCGUGAGUGAAGGAAGGCCUUCGGGUCGUAAAGCUCUGUCAAGAGGAAAGAAGUGUACAAUGGCUAAUACCUGUUGUAUUUGACGGUACCUCUAGAGGAAGCACCGGCUAACUCCGUGCCAGCCGCCGC
rnacentral:rRNA from 1 species